ACGAAACCAAGAAUGUGUUUGUCAAGUUCUAUGCCCCGUGGUGCACCCACUGCAAGGAGAUGGCCCCUGCCUGGGAGGCAUUGGCUGAGAAGUACCAAGACCACGAGGACAUCAUCAUUGCUGAGCUGGAUGCCACGGCCAACGAGCUGGAUGCCUUCGCUGUGCACGGCUUCCCUACUCUCAAGUACUUCCCAGCAGGGCCAGGUCGGAAGAUCCCCCUGCCUCUUCUC
rnacentral:lncRNA from 1 species